rnacentral:rRNA from 1 species
AACGGCCGUACCAUGCUGAAUAUACCGGUUCUCGUUAGAUCACCGAAGUCAAGCAUCAUUGGGCGCGGUCAGUACUUGGGUGGGUGACCACCUGGGAACACCGCGUACCGUU